rnacentral:misc_RNA from 1 species
AGGUCACAUUUAAAUUGUUUGUGUCGGUUUAUUUUAUCCAUUCGAUGUAUCCUGAUUAGUAUUAAUAUUGGAAUUUUUCGAUUUUAAAUUAUAGAAGUACUAACUAUUCAAUAGAAUCAAAACAUUAUUUGAAACAUAAGUUGGCUCAAUAUUUAAGCGACACUGUUGUGAUUUUAAAGAAGAAAAUGGAAGGGAUUGGUGGACCUGAAUUGAAUGUUUUAAAUUCGGCGAGAGAACGUAAAACUGCGCUGAUAACACCAAUAAACGUUUUAUAGAUUUUUAGAACGAUCGGACUCUUGACUUUUUGAAUUGCAGUU